rnacentral:tRNA from 1 species
UCCUGAGUGGCUCAGUUGGCUGAGCGCCUGACUUCAGCUCAGGUCAUGAUCUCACAGUUCAUGGGUUCGAGCCCCGCAUCGGGUU